CGGAGGGUGCAAGCGUUAUCCGGAUUCACUGGGUUUAAAGGGAGCGUAGGCGGAUUGGUAAGUCAGUGGUGAAAGCCCCGAGCUCAACUUGGGAAUUGCCAUUGAUACUGCUGGUCUUGAGUACGGUUGAAGUGGGCGGAAUGUGACAUGUAGCGGUGAAAUGCUUAGAUAUGUCACAGAACACCGAUUGCGUAGGCAGCUCACUAAGCCGUAACUGACGCUGAGGCUCGAAAGCGUGGGGAUCAAACAGGAUUAGAUACCCUGGUAGUCCACGCCCUAAACGUUGAUCACUCGACAUUGGCGAUAAACUGUCAGUGUCCAAGCAAAAGCGUUAAGUGAUCCACCUGGGGAGUACGCUCGCAAGAGUG
rnacentral:rRNA from 1 species